ensembl:snRNA U6 U6 spliceosomal RNA
GUGCUCGCUCGCUUGGGCAGCACAUAUACUGAAAUUGUAACGAUACAGAGAAGAUUAGCAUGGCCCCUGAACGAGGAUGACACACAAAUCAGUGAAGUGUUCCAGAUUUUA